GUUAAAUACUGAGCCUUUGUUAUGUCCCAGAUGUUGUUGUAACCAUUCUGUCAAAACGAAUUCCUUUAAUAUUAGCAUUACUUAUACCCAUUUUACAGCCAGGACAACCUGAAGUACAGAGAUGCUAAGUGACAGGUUUGAGUUCCAUAAAGGAAAUGACAGCGUCCUACCUGGGAUCCUAUAUGCAACCAUGCAGUGUGGCAAGUGAGACUUGCAAAGAUGAUGUGGCCGCAGAGAUACAGAAGUGGGCCUGUCAAGAGUGAAACAGAGCAGAGCAGCAAAAAGACUGGCAACUCCCAAGUUAGGACCGUUCGGCUCUCUUUUGCCCUUGGGCCACCUGAAUUCCUGUGCUCUGUCUGAUCAACUUUAUCUUCCCUCAGCACUGGAGGAUCCAGGAGCAAAGAGCUGCUGAGCCUGGGAUGAAUGAAACUGAGAGUCCGACUGCUGCAGUGCCUUACCAACCAAAACCAAAACCAACCAACCAAACAACAACAACAACAACAACAACAACAAACCACUCAUUGGUAGGCCCGGCAUGCUCAGCUCUGUCUGCUCAGCAUCAAGAAUGUAUCUGGAGGCAGGGGAUGCAAUUGUAAGUGUUGGUCUGAAUCCCUAUGUUUGUAAGGCAACAAGCCUGAAGUUGUCCCACAAAGCACAAAGUCUGUGUGUAUCUCUUGAUACUCAUCCUGGAAGAGAUAUAUCUCAAACUUGAGGGAGUCAGAAGGUUGGUGGCUAAAAAGUUCAAGAAGAGGAAUAAGCACUGUAAAGUUGUGCCAAGUGGGUCUGAUAAGAAUACUACGUUUGGGUGGUUUUUGUUUGUUUGUUUGUUUGUUUGUUUAUUCGUUUGUUUGUUUUAAGUUUACAGCUCUUGUUAGCUUUUAUAAUAUGUAACUUAUUUUGCUAUGUUUA